rnacentral:rRNA from 1 species
ACAGACUCCUACGGGAGGCAGCAGUGAGGAAUAUUGGUCAAUGGGCGAGAGCCUGAACCAGCCAAGUCGCGUGAGGGAAGACGGUCCUAUGGAUUGUAAACCUCUUUUGCCGGGGAGCAAAAAGCGGUACGUGUACCGCAUCGAGAGUACCCGGAGAAAAAGCAUCGGCUAACUCCGUGCCAGCAGCCGCGGUAAUACGGAGGAUGCGAGCGUUAUCCGGAUUUAUUGGGUUUAAAGGGUGCGCAGGCGGAGAGUUAAGUCGGGGGAAAAUUUGCGGGGCUAACCCCAGCAAAGCCGUUGAAACUGGCAGUCUCGAGUUGGAGAGAAGUAUGCGGAAUGCGCGGUGUAGCGGUGAAAUGCAUAGAUAUCGCGCAGAACUCCGAUUGCGAAGGCAGCAUGCCGGCUCCACACUGACGCUGAGGCACGAAAGCGUGGGAAUCGAACAGGAUUAGAUACCCCUGUA